rnacentral:rRNA from 1 species
GCUAGCGGCAGGCUUAAUACAUGCAAGUCGUGGGGCAGCAUGAGUAGCAAUACUUGAUGGCGACCGGCAAACGGGUGCGUAACACGUACACAACUUUCCUUUAAGUGGGGAAUAGCCCGGGGAAACCCGGAUUAAUACCCCGUAAUAUUAUGAAAUGGCAUCAUUUUAUAAUUAUAGCUUCGGCGCUUAAUGAUGGGUGUGCGGCUGAUUAGGUAGUUGGCGGGGUAACGGCCCACCAAGCCUUCGAUCAGUAGCUGAUGUGAGAGCAUGAUCAGCCACACGGGCACUGAGACACGGGCCCGACUCCUACGGGAGGCAGCAGUAAGGAAUAUUGGUCAAUGGGCGAAAGCCUGAACCAGCCAUGCCGCGUGAAGGAUGAAGGCCCUCUGGGUUGUAAACUUCUUUUAUCUGGGACGAAAAAAGGGAAUUCUUUUCCGCCUGACGGUACCAGAUGAAUAAGCACCGGCUAACUCCGUGCCAGCAGCCGCGGUAAUACGGAGGGUGCAAGCGUUAUCCGGAUUCACUGGGUUUAAAGGGAGCGUAGGCGGGCAGGUAAGUCAGUGGUGAAAUCUUUGGGCUUAACCCGAAAACUGCCAUUGAUACUAUCUGUCUUGAAUAUUGCGGAGGUAAGCAGAAUAUGUCAUGUAGCGGUGAAAUGCUUAGAUAUGACAUAGAAUACCCAUUGCGAAGGCAGCUUACUACACAUAUAUUGACGCUGAGGCUCGAAAGCGUGGGGAUCAAACAGGAUUAGAUACCCUGGUAGUCCACGCCCUAAACGAUGGAUACUCGACAUAUGCGAUACACUGUAUGUGUCUGAGCGAAAGCAUUAAGUAUCCCACCUGGGAAGUACGACCGCAAGGUUGAAACUCAAAGGAAUUGGCGGGGGUCCGCACAAGCGGGGGAGCAUGUGGUUUAAUUCGAUGAUACGCGAGGAACCUUACCUGGGCUAGAAUGCGGUUUGACCGUGAGUGAAAGCUCAUUUUGUAGCAAUACACAGAUCGUAAGGGGCUGCAUGGCUGUCGUCAGCUCGUGCCGNGAGGGGUUGGGUUAAGGUCCGCAACGAGCGCAACCCCUAUCAUUAGUUGCCAUCAGGUAAUGCUGGGAACUCUAGUGAAACUGCCGUCGUAAGACGCGAGGAAAGAGGGGAUGAUGUCAAGUCAUCAUGGCCUUUAUGCCCAGGGCUACACACGUGCUACAAUG